UGUCAAUGUCACCUGAUUAGGUCGAAGGUCAGUGCAGCCAUCUUGUUUUUUCCAUUUUUGUGUGAUCCAAGGUGCUACAAACAUUUCUCUCCCAAAUUUUGCAUCAUCGUUGUUGAGCCUUCAAGAAGCUUUGUUUAGAGCUAAGGAUUUGGGCCCCGACACGACGGCACCUGCUGCCUCCUUUACCAGACCACUGGAUCCUUUCCGAACAGGCCGGCCCGUUUGUUUGGCGGGUGUUGUGUUCAGGUCUCCGCGGGGCUCGAGGGGCCCGAGUGGUGCCGCGUCACAUUCACGCCGGGUGAAAGGCCACCAAUUGAACAGCCCAAAUGAUGAAAAAGAGAGGACGUAAAAUGGAACCUUGAGGAACACCACGAGUAUAACUAAAGAAGUUGAACAAAUGACUACUGACUGCAUCUGAAGUAAACAAGCUACAGCAACACCUUGGCAACAUUAACCACAUUACAAAACAAAUGUGUAACUGCCAAAAAGAACAGGACUUAAAGGGAUGCCUUGAGGUGCUCCUCAUUUAUGUAAAUCAUAAACUUGGACUCCAGUGUUCUGUGGACU